rnacentral:rRNA from 1 species
UGAGUAACACGUGAGUGACCCGCCUUUUAGACUGGAACAACUUACCGAAAGGUGAGCUAAUGCCGGAUGAGUUAUAUAAGUGCAUGUUUAUAUAGGAAAAGUUGGGGAGACCUGACGCUGAAAGAUGGACUCGCGUCCCAUUAGCUAGUUGGUAGGGUAAUGGCCUACCAAGGCGACGAUGGGUAGCCGGCCUGAGAGGGUGGCCGGCCACACUGGGACUGAGACACGGCCCAGACUCCUACGGAAGGCAGCAG